AAAAAGGAGACUUAAGCCCAAAGCAUAGUUGGAGAGGUGUCAGAAAGGGAGAUUUAGGUCAGUGGUUUUUCCGUAGUGUGUGUUCUUGUAUUACUUUCGUUGACAGAUGACUACCAAGAGAACUAGACCUUACCAAUAAGAACAAAAAAUCACGUAUGAGUACCGACAUGCUUCAUUUUCACAAGAUAUUUCAUUGAAGUAAACCGCUUGAUCCAAAAAUAUGCUAUGCAAGGUUUGUUUUUUGAGGACAAGCAACAAUCUAAGUUUGGG
rnacentral:lncRNA from 1 species